AUAAAACUUUUAGUAAGCUCAUGUAUGGUAAAGACAAGGAGGAACAUAUACAUACAAAAACAUAUAGAGACAAAUAUUUUACAGAAAUUACUUCUGUUUUCACUUCAUCAAAGUUAAUUGGAACAUUUGGUUGCCAAAAAUCUUGUUCAGCAUAAUGCAAACCACGUUAGCUAGCUAGUGCUAGCAUUACCUGGUAAUUUAAGUUCCCACAGUUAGUGAUGAGGGAAUGUUAAAGAAAAGUUUUCUGUUUUACUGUGAUAACGUUGCCAGUACCCGGAGGUCUACGUUUCACCCACUGAUUGACUUGCUUCAGAACAGCACAGUGCCAAUGAAACCAUAAACAACACUGGCUUGGCCGCAUCAUCCUCCCCAGUUCCACCCUCUUGUCAAAAAUUGUCACAUCCGGUUGCAAAAAAACAAGAUGGCGAUGCCCGCAUUGCCAAACUAGAGGCUUCAAAAAAGCAGUCCACAAACCAACGGGUGUCAUCACAAUGCUAUGUCCUCUAUUUUUACAGUCCAUGAUAACAGAGCUUUAUUUUUCUGUAUUUAGCUGUAUUUUAUCUGGACUGUGGUGAGCCAGUAUGAGCCUGCCUGAGGAUCUGAGACUGGGAUCUGGAACAGAAAGAAUUAAAGAAAUUUAUUAUAGCUUUGUGCCAGAAACCUGCCAUUUCAAGGCCUUUGGGAGGAUGAGUAGACUAUAACAAUCCAAUCUAAAACUGUAACCAAUAUAAAGAUCCUUGUAUUAUGUAGAUCUAACUGUUUGCCCCAGUCAGAGCUGCACAUUAGCGAUUGGAGAGGAUAUUUUGUCAAUUGACAAAAGAUGCAGAGCAGUAGAAGUAGGAUAUGGACAUGAUCUGGAUGAAUGGAUUACUUUUACUAGAUUGUUUAGCAUUUGGUUUAAGGUAUGAAAAAAUGUAUGGAGGAGUACACAACAAAACUAGGGAAACCAUAAUAUAGGGAUACUUUAUAAACAAUUGACCAUUGUUCUAAGUUAGAUACAAUACACCAACAGCAUAAAAGAUCAAAAGUGUGCUAUAUCCCCUUAAAAGACCAACAGGUAGUUACAGACUCAACAACCACUACAAAACCUUAUCCAGUUGGGAUCCUCAAGAAGUAUUGGUAUCUACCAGAAAGGCCUAGAUCAGGAACUGCACCAUCCUAUUCUCUGUCUCCCUCAGCAGCUGGGUGAUUAUUAUCUCUGAAUGGGCAGCAAUAUUACAGAUGAAGAACUCUUGACAGUCUCUCCAAGCUUUUUUGCUCUGCUAUGCUUUCAAAAGUAGAGACAAUGGUGUCACAUCUCUAUCAAAGUAGCCAUCACUUUCAACACAAGGGCUUAUGGGAUUCCUUCUGCAAAGACAGAAGGCGAUCAUGUCAACCAAGCAAUCAGGUAGUUAAUGAUUCCUUGACAACAAAGAAUGAACACUGUCUACAGCUGUCAAAGCGGACUUUCUGUGAAUCCUUUUGGCCAGAAUGGUGCUUCACCUGGUCCUGCUGUUUGAAUGGAAAAUGCUUGUACUCUUCAAGUCCUCCACUGAUAAACUUGCUUUCUCUGACUGUGUACCUUCACAAUGGUGUUGCUCUUUGCAUGGAGCAGGUUCUCCAAUAUCCCAAACCUUUACUGUCUUAAACAAUGUGAGUGGUGUAAAGCAUGUAGGUCUCCAAGGGCCUAGGAUCAUUUCAUCGGAUCCCUGAUACUUUUGAUGUGUGCUGGGGCCUUUUAACAAACCAUGUAUGUAUAUGCAAUAGUUAGACCUUUACUCUAAUGUGUUUCACAGUCUACCGUGUUGUUUCAGACAAUGACCGAUUGUAGUGUACCCUCUGCAUUCCCCAAACUGUAGUCCAUUAAGGGAACUGUGCCUCAGUUACUUACUGCCAUGUGGCCUGUGAGGUUGUGGCAAGUACUUAUUAGUAUUUGCUUUUGUUCUUUUUGAAAACAAUUUGCAUGUUCUCCUAGUGUCCUUGUGGCUUUCCUCUAAUACUUUAAACACAGGUAAUGUUCAUUGGAGAUUCUGAUAGCCCAUUUACAGUUAACGACCAAAAAGCUUUAAUCAGCCACAUUGUUAAAAAGGUUUAAAAACUAUCAUCUCUCAAAGCACACUAUCCCAGGUUUAACUACGCGGUUUGUGAUUGCAGCCAUUGGUUUGUCUAUAAAGACCAACCAAUUAUUUAAUAAUGAUUAUGGGAAACUCCCCUGAUUUUACACAUCAAAGUGAGUUUGAGAAUGUAAAGGUUGAUGUCACGUUUUAUAAAGUUUGAAAAAUUAGUUAACUGGUUGUGCGGAGUUAAGAAGAAGUGAGAUGAUAAGAAGUGAACUUACCAAAACCUCUAUAGCCUACUCCUCACGCAAAGGUUCCAGGCCAUAAUAUUACUAUAAUAUUCCUACUGUCCACCUAAACUUUUGCCCAAAUGUUUUUGUUGCCUAACUCUAACUACAUAGUUUAUUUGCUAUGAUGACAAUCUUUCCCUAAUCUUAACCAUAUUGUAGUAGCCAGGUAUUGUACAAAAUGACAAAUUGUUUAAGUUGGCAAAGCUGU